rnacentral:rRNA from 1 species
UUUCCGUAGGUGAACCUGCGGAAGGAUCAUUGACAAGUCCCUAUAGUAGACCGAGAACGCGUGACCUUUUGAAUUCAUACGUGGGUUUCGUCCUUUGUUGGUCGAAGCCUUACGUGAGUCACCCUGUCGCGUCAUAACCUGACGCAUGGGUGUGACUCAUAACAACCCCUCGGCACGGACCGUGCCAAGGUAAUUUAUUCCAGUCGUUGUGGUGGCACCUUGUGUGCUCCACAAUGACUCGUUUGUAUCUUUGUAUCCCUUUGUGGAUCUCGAAUGACUCUCGGCAACGGAUAUCUUGGUCCUCGCAUCGAUGAAGAACGUAGCGAAAUGCGAUACUUGGUGUGAAUUGCAGAAUCCCGUGAACCAUCGAGUUUUUGAACGCAAGUUGCGCCCUAAGCUCUCGGGCCGAGGGCAAGCCUGCGUGGGCGUCAAGUUAAGCAACUCCUUCACCUUCUCCAAGUCAGUUUUCGACUGGCACGAUGCAAAGGUGUUUGAUGUGUAGAAUGACUCUCCUUUCCCUCUGCGGAAUGGUGGGUUGAAGUUCUAACGCACUGGAAAUCGUUCAAGGCAUGACGGUUGAAGACUCGUAGAGUUGGACUUCGUUGUCCGCUACAAGCUUACUUGUCGUUCUUGUCGAGCUGGUGUUGUCUUCGUUGUCCAUGGUACCUUGUCGUUGACAUUACCUUGGCUCACAUUGCGACCCCACGUCAGGCUGGAUCACCCGCUGAAUUUAA